AAAACGGCUCUUUUCAGAGCCACCCACAGUACCGAAGAGGUUGUUU
rfam:Ciona savignyi cont_8123, whole genome shotgun sequence.